UACGUAGGAGGCAAGCGUUGUCCGGAAUUACUGGGCGUAAAGCGCGUGUAGGCGGUCUGAAUAGUCUGCUGUGAAAGCGCCUGGCUUAACCGGGCGAGGUCGGCGGAAACUCUCAGACUGGAGGCCGGUAGAGGGGGGUGGAAUUCCCGGUGUAGCGGUGAAAUGCGCAGAUAUCAGGAGGAACACCAAUGGCGAAGGCAGCUCGCUGGGACGGUACUGACGCUGAGACGCGAAAGCGUGGGGAGCAAACAGG
rnacentral:rRNA from 1 species